rnacentral:rRNA from 1 species
UGAACGCUGGCGGCAUGCCUUACACAUGCAAGUCGAACGGCAGCACGGGUGCUUGCACCUGGUGGCGAGUGGCGAACGGGUGAGUAAUACAUCGGAACAUGUCCUGUAGUGGGGGAUAGCCCGGCGAAAGCCGGAUUAAUACCGCAUACGAUCCACGGAUGAAAGCGGGGGACCUUCGGGCCUCGCGCUAUAGGGUUGGCCGAUGGCUGAUUAGCUAGUUGGUGGGGUAAAGGCCCACCAAGGCGACGAUCAGUAGCUGGUCUGAGAGGACGACCAGCCACACUGGGACUGAGACACGGCCCAGACUCCUACGGGAGGCAGCAGUGGGGAAUUUUGGACAAUGGGCGAAAGCCUGAUCCAGCAAUGCCGCGUGUGUGAAGAAGGCCUUCGGGUUGUAAAGCACUUUUGUCCGGAAAGAAAUCCUGAGGGCUAAUAUCCUUCGGGGAUGACGGUACCGGAAGAAUAAGCACCGGCUAACUACGUGCCAGCAGCCGCGGUAAUACGUAGGGUGCGAGCGUUAAUCGGAAUUACUGGGCGUAAAGCGUGCGCAGGCGGUUUGUUAAGACCGAUGUGAAAUCCCCGGGCUCAACCUGGGAACUGCAUUGGUGACUGGCAAGCUAGAGUAUGGCAGAGGGGGGUAGAAUUCCACGUGUAGCAGUGAAAUGCGUAGAGAUGUGGAGGAAUACCGAUGGCGAAGGC